rnacentral:rRNA from 1 species
UACGGGGGGAGCAAGCGUUGUUCGGAUUUACUGGGCGUAAAGGGCGCGUAGGCGGCUCAGCACAAGUCAGUUGUGAAAUCUCCGGGCUUAACUCGGAAAGGUCAACUGAUACUGUGCGACUAGAGUGCAGAAGGGGCAACUGGGAAUUCUCGGUGUAGCGGUGAAAUGCGUAGAUAUCGAGAGGAACACCUGCGGCGAAGGCGG